rnacentral:rRNA from 1 species
UACGUAGGUGGCAAGCGUUAUCCGGAUUUAUUGGGUGUAAAGGGCGUGUAGGCGGGAGCGCAAGUCAGAUGUGAAAACUCAGGGCUCAACCCUGAGCCUGCAUUUGAAACUGUGUUUCUUGAGUACUGGAGAGGCAGACGGAAUUCCUAGUGUAGCGGUGAAAUGCGUAGAUAUUAGGAGGAACACCAGUGGCGAAGGCGGUCUGCUGGACAGCAACUGACGCUGAGGCGCGAAAGCGUGGGGAGCAAACAGG